AACGAACGCUGGCGGCAUGCCUAACACAUGCAAGUCGAACGAGACCUUCGGGUCUAGUGGCGCACGGGUGCGUAACGCGUGGGAACCUGCCUUUAGGUUCGGAAUAACUCAGAGAAAUUUGAGCUAAUACCGGAUGAUGUCUUCGGACCAAAGAUUUAUCGCCUUUAGAUGGGCCCGCGUUGGAUUAGCUAGUUGGUGGGGUAAAGGCCUACCAAGGCGACGAUCCAUAGCUGGUCUGAGAGGAUGAUCCGCCACACUGGGACUGAGACACGGCCCAGACUCCUACGGGAAGCAGCAGUGGGGAAUAUUGGACAAUGGGCGAAAGCCUGAUCCAGCAAUGCCGCGUGAGUGAUGAAGGCCUUAGGGUUGUAAAGCUCUUUUACCCGAGAUGAUAAUGACAGUAUCGGGAGAAUAAGCUCCGGCUAACUCCGUG
rnacentral:rRNA from 1 species